rnacentral:lncRNA from 1 species
GGAUACUUGUUGUAGUUCAACUCAAAUUACUUUCUAUGUAACAACCGACUAGGAUUAGAUCCUAUCCGACUUGUAACUCUAGGUUAUCAGCCUAUAUAAGGCGGCCAGGGACACCUUCCGAGGGUAACUCAUCCCACCUCUCGUUAACCCAACGCAUCUCAUACCAGCAAUACAAUCCACUAGAACACAGGAUGUAGGGUAUUACUCUCCGGAGGCCUGAACCUGUCUAAACCCUAUGCCUCUGUGUUACCAUUCGAGUUCUUGAUCUUGUGAUCUCCCCC